GGGGAGAUGCAGAACCGCCGCCACCACCACCUGCUGCUGCUGCUGCUGCUGCUCUUUCCUCGCCCUGCUCCCUGGACUCUGCCCCUUCAGGGCUGUGCGCUCAUCUCCUCGCGGCUCACCCACCCGGCGGGCAGGUGAUGGCACCCGGCAGCCAAUGGGCAGCGGCGAGCAACCGCGCGCGUCUUGCGCGCGCUUUCGCAGCACCGGACCUUUCCCCCCCCCUCCCCGCUGCCCUGGCUUUAGAGCCGCGCCAGGGAUGGAUGGACGGACGCUGAGCACACAAGAGUACCUGCCCCUUUAAGGCUGCAGUCCUCACCAAAGCACUGCAACCCUAAACCAUCCGAAGUCAAGCAGGUUUGUGCUUCGGAUGGCAGCGCCCACCCAGGUAACCUGAAUCGUAGAGUUGGAUGGGACCAUGAGCAGGGUUGCCAACUUGAAUAAAAUAUUCGGGGGAACCCAGAGCGAUGCCACAUCCUCAUACUGCAAAAAGCCUCUGAACAGAAUCAGAAAACAUCCCAGCCAGUUAAAAGAACGAGUAGAAAAUCCAUGCUGAUAUUGGCUGGGAAAGAAGCAGACACACACACACUGGUAUAAUUAGGAAAAGAAGUAUCGCUUCUCACUACACCAGAAGGUUCUUCAUGGAAAUAAACAGGGAGCAAUUCUCAUUACGUGUUGAUUCAAGUCCUUAUGUCAAACUAGUUUACCAAUAGAAAACAGACAUAUUCAUCAAAAACAUUUUUGCAGUUAAAAUUAGUAAUGUGUAUAUUUCUUUUUUUACAUGCGAGGUGGUAUUUGUGCUGUUUCUGACACGUUAUAUAACCAUAAAAUGAGAUGAAAAUACAGCUGGUCUUUUCUUCAGAAAGUGUAUUUAUAGCUUGUUUGAAUAAUAUAUUCCUGUUAAUAGGAAGGUAAGACCUAGGAAAGAGCUUAUUCUAUUUUCUACAACAUGGCUUCAAAAUGAUGUGAUCUAUUCUAUUAACCAAAACACUUCAAGUAGUGUGAACAAUUCAAAGUAAAUAACAGGUCAAUCUAAAUUUUAAAAAAACAAAUUUCUAUUUGUAAAGCCUUUCCCCCCAAAAAAACAUGGAAUUUGAGUUAUCUAUUGGUCUAGAUCGGGCAUGUCCAACAGGUAGAUCACAAUCUACUGGUAGAUCACAGGGUGUUCCUGGUAGAUAUUUGGCCCCUCAGUGAUCUCCCCCCCCCAAAAAAAAAAAAUUGCAGUAUUGGGAGUUGGACGUCCCUGGUCUAGAUGGACAUCUAGCCUUUAAAACCAAGGCUGGUGGUUUUACUGGAAGCAAGGUGAGGUGUAUAUAGUGAGGCAUCAUAUAGCAUACUGUAACUUGCUGUAAAGAAUUGGUAGGAAUAGCUUUUGUAUGCAAAGAGAGAGGCAACAAGAACUUAUUUUACAAAAAACUUAUUAUCUUACUUUGCCAACCUAUGUAAAUAAAAGUUAAUGGGUGCUUCCCUCUGUUCUA